AAGCUGGCAUUCUAACUGUGAACCAA
rnacentral:piRNA from 1 species